UACAGAGGGGGCAAGCGUUAUUCGGAAUUAUUGGGCGUAAAGGGCGCGUAGGCGGCCUUGCAAGUCGGUUGGUGAAAGCCCGGGGCUCAACCCCGGAGGUGCGGCCGAGACUGCAGGGCUGGAGGCCGGAAGAGGAGGGUGGAAUACCCAGUGUAGAGGUGAAAUUCGUAGAUAUUGGGUGGAACACCGGUGGCGAAAGCGGCUCUCUGGUCCGGACCUGACGCUGAGGCGCGAAAGCGUGGGGAGCAAACAGG
rnacentral:rRNA from 1 species